rnacentral:rRNA from 1 species
AACGAACGCUGGCGGCAUGCCUAACACAUGCAAGUCGAACGAGACCUUCGGGUCUAGUGGCGCACGGGUGCGUAACGCGUGGGAACCUGCCCUUAGGUUCGGAAUAACUCCCCGAAAGGGGUGCUAAUACCGGAUAAUGUCUUCGGACCAAAGAUUUAUCGCCUUUGGAUGGGCCCGCGUUGGAUUAGCUAGUUGGUAGGGUAAAAGCCUACCAAGGCGACGAUCCAUAGCUGGUCUGAGAGGAUGAUCAGCCACACUGGGACUGAGACACGGCCCAGACUCCUGCGGGAGGCAGCAGUGGGGAAUAUUGGACAAUGGGCGAGAGCCUGAUCCAGCAAUGCCGCGUGAGUGAUGAAGGCCUUAGGGUUGUAAAGCUCUUUUACCCGGGAUGAUAAUGACAGUACCGGGAGAAUAGGCUCCGGCUAACUCCGUG